UUUAUUUAUAUAUAAAAAUAUAAAUUAAAUAAAUUAUAUAAAUAUAAAAUAUAUGUAUUCGAGCUGUUAUCGAGCCGAACACGAGCGAGUUGACCCAAGCUCGUGUUCGGCUCGUUUAUUAAACGAGCUGAAAAAUCCAGCUCGUGUUCGGCUCGUUUACUAAACGAGCGAGCCGAUCUCGAGCUCAUUUCGAGCCGAACCCGAGCUGGCUCGCGAACAGCGAGCUGGAUUGCCACCCCUAGUUA
rnacentral:lncRNA from 1 species